UCCUGACGCUACAGGCAGACCGACACAGGUGGAAUUAGUAACGGCACAAUACAAUAAAAAGAUUCGACCCGAUCAAGAUUAUUUCAUACAUUUUUUUUUUUUGUGCAGACACAACUAAACACAUCUGUAAUUGGUAGAAGAUUUUUGCAAACUCGGAAAUGCUUCUUUAGCUUUGCCAAAUAGAUGCUUUUAUCACUCUUCAGUGGGAAUCAAUUAAUACCAUAAAGUUGAAAUUUGUAUUCAAGGAUGACGUUGCAAUAAAAUUGUGAAACAGCAAAAUGGCAACAACUCAACUCAUAGGUAAGAGACAGCUAUGACAUCGAGCUAACGCAGACAGGUAAGAGGUCGUUUAGCUAGGCUAACGUGAGCUAAGUUUCACGUCGGUUCUGCGUUUGAUUGAGAAAUUCAGUCAUGAACAACAGACCAAAAAAAAUGCUGUGGUUGAGAACGUGUUCGUAGGGAUGUAAUAAUCCACAAAUGUUACGAUGCUUUUCAACGAAGCCGUGACAAACGAGUUUUGUUGAUCAACAGUACGAUGGGUUAGCUUUGAAGUUGAAGCUUGCUACUGGACCGAUAGUACUGGAGCAGAUGGGUCUCCCCUCUCCGGUGGCCCAAAGGAUCCGACGUGACGCUUCAUCACACUUUCCCCCGUGGCCCCGCUGUAAUUAACAGCCGCGGUGGGGACAGGCUCGUGAUUCAACUGCGGCCAACGCGCGUCCAUCAACAAGCCCUGCGGUUUGGCGGCCUGCUUAGCCUAGCGCUAGCAUACGCGGUGCGAAUGUAAAAAGCGUUUGUGUUUCGAUUGGAGGGGAAUAUUUGAGACGGCGGCGCGACCGUGAACAACAACAACAGGAACCCCAGUGGUGGAAUGUUCCCCUCGCAGAGCUUGGUUUAGCGGAAUCUGGUUCCCGCUUUGGGCCCGAAAUAGCACGUGAUAUUCUUUAUGGAAAAGACGGUCGAAAUAGAAAAAGGCCCAUCUGUCAUCUUAGCGUGAUUUAGAUCCAAAAGAAUGUUGUUGUUUUUUUUCUUUUGGAACUGCUGCAUUCAAAAAGGAAUUUGGAAAAACACCACAGGCUGUUUCCAUAUUUUUAAUGCAAAUUUCACAAUGACCACUUCCAAUCAGAACCCACCGUGCUACCUUGUCAGUUCAUUGAGAUUCCGUCAAAUCCGAAACACAUGAUCAGCAGGAGUCUUGUGGCAAAAAACUCCCCUAAUGUCGCUUUUAGCUAUGCCGACGCUAAGAAAUAUGACACCCAGCGUUGUCACAGCAACAAACUCGAUCACAACAAUUAUCAACCACUGGACCGCUGACUUCCAUGUGAUUCCAUAGCGGUUAGUGGACAUGGUUGCAUUUCAGCUUCCACUGAAUGGGCACCACACACUUGGGAGGUGAGGAUGGACUGCAAUUGGUUCCAAGUUCAAAUGCACAGCAGAAAGUGAAGUGUGUGUGUGUGUGUGUGUGUAUUGGAUGUGGCCACUGUCUGUUUACGCUACAAGUGGGAAAAGUAGGUCAUGUUUUAAUGCCCUCGCAAAAGGGUUGCUAAAGCUUUGCGGAUCAUUGGGGUCAUCUUAGCUAUUCCAGUUAACACUGUCGACUAAGUUGUUAGCAAAUAAGUACUUCACGAGUACAGAUACUUGUGUAAAAAUACCACACGAGACAAGUGUAAAAGUUAGCAUGUACAGAAUCUGAAAUGUACGUAAAGGUACAAAAGCAAAACUUUAUUUGUACUGUCCGCAAUGUACAAAUACAACAUACGUUCUCUUCUACUAGCUAGCGUUGACUCAAUUUUUAUGUUAUAAACAUGUUCCCGUAGCUUGGUGAACACUGAACUAGCUAAGACGAAAUGCUAAAUUAGCUUUUUUGGUGCUCUUUUCUUUCCAGAUAGCAGUGUAAGAAAUUAGCUGUUUAUUUUUGUUUUUGUUUUAGUCUAAGACCCAAAGACCAUAAUCACCCUCUCUAUGCACGCCUUUUUGAUGUUGCUCUCAGUCAAGGAUAA